rnacentral:rRNA from 1 species
CACAGGUGCUGCAUGGCUGUCGUCAGCUCGUGUCGUGAGAUGUUGGGUUAAGUCCCGCAACGAGCGCAACCCUGUCAUUAGUUGCUACGAAAGGGGCACUCUAAUGAGACUGCCGGUGACAAACCGGAGGAAGGUGGGGAUGACGUCAAGUCCUCAUGGCCCUUAUAGGUGGGGCUACACACGUCAUACAAUGGCUGGUACAAAGGGUUGCCAACCCGCGAGGGGGAGCCAAUCCCAUAAAGCCAGUCGUAGUCCGGAUCGCAGUCUGCAACUCGACUGCGUGAAGUCGGAAUCGCUAGUAAUCGUGGAUCAGCAUGUCACGGUGAAUACGUUCCCGGGUCUU